UGCUUACUAAAUCCCAUAUGUGCUAAAUUGUAAUGCUUCUAAACAUUUGUUCGUCUUACGUGCCUGCUAGCUUUUACUGGAAAUCAUAUCAUGCGUUCUGUAUUUGCCUUGAAAUUGAUGUAUCUCACAGGCUAGCUUAUAUCAUGGUCAUACUGCUACUGUCAAUACUACUGCAUAAACAACUUGUUAGAGUAGCUUUUUAUUAAUCUACUUUUCUGCCCAAAUUUACUAAGCUUCUGAGGUUUUUUAGGUAAUUUUAUUUAGCAACUCUCAGGUUCUAGAUCAGCACAUGAUUUGUGGGUGCCAGGUGAUGUGCCAGGUUUGUACAAUUGGAACAGUUGUACAAUGCACUGUUCUUGCCAAUGUUGGCACCCACUUUCUAGCGUUUAUCCAUAAUCCGACUCUUGCCGAUGUUUAAACUUUAGCUUGGAGAAACGAUGGUUGGUACCCACUCUGCACUUACUUGAACGAGCCAUUUAUGUCUUUCUCCUUUGUGUGGCUCCUCGAGCUUGGAUCGGCCAGAUCUUGCCAAGUGAAAAUCAGAACAAUUUUGGCAUACACGGCCUGGUGCCUGCUGUCCUAAUGUCGCUGACGCCGAACAGGGCACAAUGCUGCCACCACCUAGCUCUCCCUCCUCUUCCUUCAUCCACCAAUUCAAUGUUGAGGACACUAAGAAAAUAGAUGAGGCAUGAGUGACUUUGAGGAGAUGUACAAUGCAAAGUUCAGAGAUCAACACUAUAAUGAUGUGUGUGGCCGAACAUUUAUAUAUCAAGGUCUGUACUUCCAAAGUUUCUGAUCUAGAAAUUUACCUAAGGUUGUACUGAACAAAUACAAAGUUUCUGAUCAUAUACAUAUCUUAGGUAACUAUAAUAAUGUGUGGUUGUGUCCUUGAACGUUCAUAUAUCAAGGUCUAUACUUCCAAAGUCGACCUAGAGCCCCGUAAAAAGGAUUUACAUAGAGCCUCAUAAAAGGGAUUCAGUUAAGAGGGAUUCUGUUGUUUUUGUUAGAAAGCUCAGAGGUGUAAUAAUUCAUUGUCCUCUGUUCAAUAACUUGUCUUCCACUUCCUACCACGUAAUACCUGAGAAUAUAGUUUUAAUCUUCUCCAGUAUGAACGGAUUUUCUUUCUUUUAAAUUCCACACAAUGGAACAACGAUGGUUUCCACUUUUUUGUUUUAUGAAAUUCAUCUUCUUGCAAAUUUAUAGCUCACUACCUCAUGUUUUUAUGUUCCAAUAUGUUCAGAUAAUUCAUUGAGAUUUGACUUUUUGCACCCGCAAGGUAAAUCAAAAGUUCAGAACUUAAAAGGCUUCGUUAACUUUAAGAGAGUGGAAGGGGCGCCUCCAACCUGGCACUGCCCAAACUUCCUCUUAUAUGUGAUGUUUUCAGAUGCAUGUAUGCUUACUUGCUAAAUGAACUAUGCAUGCUUUCUUCUUAAAAAGUUCAGAUCUGGCCACCAAGGGGCAGUAUCCAUCAGCUAAAGAUGCAGUACGAAGAUGACCCAGUAAAAAGUAUUUAGUUCUUCAUGCUGAUUUAAAAAAAUACAAUUAACCAGUUCCUCCUUUUAAAUUUGAUAUUGAUAUAGUUAUCAUUUUGAUGCUUAGAGCUCAUCAUUUUGUAGGAAGAUGUCCGGGUUCUCGUCAAAUGAAAGCUGCACUACUAUAAAAAAUGGAAACAAAAGAACACCGGGCAGUCUCAUUCCGCACUGCAUUUGCACAGUCUGUCUUACCAGUGGACUGUAAAGCAAGAACAAAGCAUGAUAAAGGCGAACGACAUCUUUCUUCUUGGCCGGAUGACAUUUAUUUACAAUAUGGUAUUGUCUUUAGAAUUUCUCGUGUUGGUGUUUUCGUGUACUUAAUUAUGUGAUGGUGAUGAUUAUACACUCCUCACUUAUAGGAAUAGUGACCAUGCUGUGUACAUUGUAAUCUCUUUCCUGUUUUUCCUUUAUAGGAAUGAUAAGACUUCCUACAGUAGGCUUAAUGAGAAUUUCUUGUUUAUGGAA